rnacentral:tRNA from 1 species
GACGGGGUAGCUCAUCGGCUAGAGCACGUCCAUUACAUGGACGAGGUAGGAGGUUCAAUUCCUUCCCCUGUUA